CCCACGGGGCGCAGCAGUGGGGAAUAUUGGGCAAUGGGCGCAAGCCUGACCCAGCAACGCCGCGUGAAGGAAGAAGGCUUUCGGGUUGUAAACUUCUUUUCUGAGGGACGAAGAAAGUGACGGUACCUCAGGAAUAAGCCACGGCUAACUACGUGCCAGCAGCCGCGGUAAUACGUAGGUGGCAAGCGUUAUCCGGAUUUAUUGGGUUUAAAGGGUGCGCAGGCGGACCAUCAAGUCAGCGGUAAAAUCGUGGGGCCCAACCCCAUCCCGCCGUUGAAACUGGCGGUCUUGAGUGAGCGAGAAGG
rnacentral:rRNA from 1 species